rnacentral:sRNA from 1 species
UAUACAAUCCAGGACUACCUGGCCAUGGUCUGCACUGACCUCAGUGGUCUGGGCUUUUCUCAUAAACCAUUAAUUGAUUACCUGCCUAUAGGCAAUCCGAGGAAGGCAUUUCGUUAAUUGAGGUGCUCUCCUCCUGGAUGACCCUAGUUUGCAUCAGUUUGAUAAACAAACAAAAAAGCAAAACGAAACAAAACAACCUAACCAGAGCAAUGGUAGUGAGACAGUCAGUUACUUUUGUGUAAUUGUCCUAUUUGAUCAUAGAAAAACACCCUGCACUCGCUUAGCACAGAGUACCUUCUGGUCUUUGCCCUCCCUGUACCAUAGUUCCUUGUGAAGUAAUCUGUUACUCAUCACCUCAGACUGAUUUGUGCGGUGGCCAUUCCCCAGAGAAAUGCAAUACGCAUGCCUUUAAUAAUGAAGCCAGCUUCCCUUUCUUAUAAAGAUCCCACUGGGACUGCUAUAGCUUGCUAACAGAAUGAAAGGCACAGACAAACUACUUCCUCUGUGCUUGAGUGUGUGCGUGCUUGCGUGCGUGCGUGCGUGCGUGCGUGGGUGUGUGUGUGUGUGAUAUUAUUUUUAUAACCACUCCUGGCAGAAGGGACCAUCACUUGCACUUUUGUGUGAAGACUUUCGGGAGCACCAAUGAUUUAUCCAAGCACAUCCAGUCACAGUUCCGGGACUCCAAUCUAGCAGUCUUGCGGUCCUCCCACCUACAGGUGACAGGCAGUGUGACCCGGAGUCAGUGCAUUAUGCUAGGUCCCAGGGUCCAAAAGUGUCUACACACAGUGCGGUACUCAGGGCCAGCCAAGGAAAUAGAGUCGAGGCAUCGAUUUGUCAAACGGCAGAUCUGGAAUUCAAACUCAGCCCGGAGCCUCUUCUCCUCCCGGACUAGCUCUUCUGUGAAGUUAGCGAGUUUGGAACCAUGAUGUACGGUGCUGUUUUAAUUCAUGUUCCCAGGUCCUGCCUCUAGAAAUGGCCACUUGGUUCGUUUAGGAUGGGGCAGGGGAACACGGCUUUUGCCCAGUUGUCUUUGAUGAUGAGGUCUCCCCGUAGUCUCCCCGUUCUGCCUGCAGCUCCGAAUGCGGUACAUGUUUGCCCGGCUCUGUGUUUUCAUCUGUGCCCUGAGGGGCUGGACUAGGAGAUAUGCAAGGUCACAUUCCGUGUCCUUGCACACACACAUCCUGUGACUGCAGGAUACAAGGUGUCUUGCUGAUGUCCCGCAUCCGGGGCAUCCAGACUGCCGCUAACCAGCGAGGGUCGCUCCUUGAAUGCCUGUUGCCCAGGAAUCCCCAUAGAGCGUGAGGCUCCACAGGGACCCUCUGACUCGAGGGUGAAGGAAAGCCCUGUUUGUUGGCUUGAAGUAGUUGGCAAACUGGCGUUUUAAAAAGGAAAUGGACUGCAGGGUAGAGGGUUUAAUUCAGGGAAAUAUUUGGAGGACUCAGUGUUUGCUCUGAGGGGGUCAUCACAUAGGUUUUGUUCCCACACUCCCUGGAAAGAUGAUGCUUCAUUAAAACGGCAACAUGAGGUGUAGUGAAAACGUCAGAAUCGGGGACUCUGAAAAGACACAUUCACUAGAUUCCACUUAAAAUGUAAAAAGGAGUGUAAAGAAAACAAAUGGACAUUUUCUUGAGGCAGCUGAGCGAUACAAAACACAGGCAUCUUUGUCUCCUCCUUGAAGACUUCCACAAUGCCUUCUCCUUUCUUCCUUUUGACUAAUCUGUACUUCUGAGAGGUGUUGAGUUUCGGCCAAACUUUCCGCUUGGUUCGCAUCAAAGGCUGCCCUCUUGUGAGUAGCAGGCUCUCACCUACCCCUCGCCUUACUCACUCCUGACCAGCGGACGCAGGUCACUCCCCAUAAUUAUUAGCUCACAGGCAGAGUUUGCAGGCGGCUCCAGGAGCAUCAAUCACAGGAAUGAAUGCAAGCUGGUGUGUGGGAACGGUCGGGGCAUCCAGGAGCUGAGCACUGUCGCCCCAGCCUUAGUCCCAAGCCACACUCCUUCGCUCCAUCCACCCUGCAGCCGGACAGAACAAAUCACAAGGCUCAUCAUGAAGCUUUGGAGAGAGAAGUUCUAACACUGAACGGCACAACACAGUUCUUACAUGGUGACCACAUAUCUAAACCUACAAGAACCAGGACGGAAAGAUGCAGUGCAAUAAAAUCACAGAUCUCUAGUCUCUUGAGACCUAAGACAAAUGUUUGUUUCUUUUUUUACCACGAGACACACCUAUUUUAUUUGGAAACUAGCAUAAAUAUGUGACAUGAGAAUACAAGUAAUAUAUCCGAUGGCUUUAAGUAGUUUUUGACAAUAAAUAAGUGUUUCUGUUUACUACGUUUUGAUUUUUAAUCAAGAUUUAUUUUA